AGUGAACGCUGGCGGCGUGCCUAACACAUGCAAGUCGAACGAUGAUAGAGAGCUUGCUCUCUUGAUUAGUGGCGCACGGGUGAGUAUACCAUAGAUAAUGUACCUCUUAGUUCGGGAUAGCCACUGGAAACGGUGAUUAAUACCGGAUACUCCUUCUUGUCUUAAGGCAAGUCGGGAAAGUUUUUUCGCUAAGAGAUCAGUCUAUGUCCUAUCAGCUAGUUGGUGAGGUAAUGGCUCACCAAGGCAAUGACGGGUAUCUGGCUUGAGAGGAUGAUCAGACACACUGGAACUGAGACACGGUCCAGACUCCUACGGGAGGCAGCAGUGAGGAAUAUUGCACAAUGGAGGAAACUCUGAUGCAGCAACGCCGCGUGGAGGAUGACGCAUUUCGGUGUGUAAACUCCUUUUAAGAGGGAAGAUAAUGACGGUACCUCUUGAAUAAGCACCGGCUAACUCCGUGCCAGCCGCCGCGGUAAAAC
rnacentral:rRNA from 1 species